AAAGGAAUUGACGGGGAGGCACACAACCAGAGGAACAUGUGGUUUAAUUCGAAACAAACCGAAGAACCUCACCAGGGUUUGACAUCUUAGAGAAAGCUUGAUGAAAGUCGAGCCCUCCGCAAGGACUGUAAGACAGGUGCUGCAUGGCUGUCGUCAGCUCGUUCCGUGAGGAGUACCCUUAAGUGGGACAACGAGCGCAACCCCUAUCUUAUGUUACACGUAUCAUAAGAGACUGCCCCAUCUUUGAUGGGGAGGAAGGAAGGGCAGACGUCAAGUCAGCAUGGCCCUUAUACCCUGGGCUACACACAUGUUACAAUGAGUAUUAACAAUGGGCUGCGACCUGGUAACAGGAAGCGAAUCUCAUAAAUAUGCUCUCAGUGGGGAUUGAGGUCUGCAACUCGACCUCAUGAACGCGGAUUUGGUAGUAAUCGCGGAUCAGCUAUGCCGCGGUGAAUACGUUCUUGCCUCUUGCACACACCGCCCGU
rnacentral:rRNA from 1 species